UACGAAGGGGGGCUAGCGUUGCUCGGAAUCACUGGGCGUAAAGGGUGCGUAGGCGGGUCUUUUAAGUCAAGGGGUGAAAUCCUGGAGCUCAACUCCAGAACUGCCUUUGAUACUGAGGAUCUUGAGUACGGGAGAGGUGAGUGGAACUGCGAGUGUAGAGGUGAAAUUCGUAGAUAUUCGGAAGAACACCAGUGGCGAAGGCGGCUCACUGGUCCGGUACUGACGCUGAGGUGCGAAAGCGUGGGGAGCAAACAGG
rnacentral:rRNA from 1 species